UUCGACUAAGUACAAACCGCACACCAUUCAAGCGGUGUUCAAGUAUACCGAUCAUCUUCAAUCGGUAUUCAUCUUCACCGCACAUCUCUUGAAAGUUAUACCGGAGAAGUCUUACCCGGAGAAGAGAUAAACUGUUGAAGCCAUCAUUCAGCCGGUGUUCAUCUUUACCGCAUAUCUCUUGAGCGGAGAACGAGCGGAGAAGAGUCUGAUUCGUUCAGCAGGUAAGUCAUCUUGUGAGGACUGGAUUUGAUUACUCAAUCUCAAAGGGUUUGAUCGAAUCAUCAGGUUUGAUCUUUUCUAUUUCAUCAAGUUUAGUCCAAUUUUUGAUCGGUUUAUAUCUAAAUCGAUUUUCUGUCCGGUAUCUUUGUAUACCGAUUACUUCUUGAGCGGACUAGUGAGCAACUUCUUGAGCGGUUUAAGACUUGUGCAUCAAACUAGAUUGAGCGGACUUCUAAUCCGCUUAAUUCAUUUUACCCAAAUUCAUUCUUAAUCACUCAAUACCUUGAACAUCUUGAUAAGACUCGAUUAUAUUUUGACUGUUUUCUUUGGGAUUCUUAAUUGUCCGGUUUAUACCCUUGUGCUGUAUGUGUCUCAUAUGCUGUUCGAUUUAGACUGGUGCUGUGAGGUUUAUUGUUGUUACAGGUUUACAUGCUUGAUUUAGACUGUGUGCAGGUGACAAGUUGAUUUCAUUUUUUAGUGAAAUAAAAGCAAUAGUGGACAGCUCAGUCCUCUGUUCAUGACUGUUCUUAACAGUAGCAACAAGUUGGUGCAAACAGAACAGUAGCAACAAGGAGAUCUGUGUUGUAUUUCAAGCUACACAGUGUGCAGCAGAUUUAAAGUUUUGACAGCAAAGAACUGCAGCAGCAACAACAUUUGACAGAUUCGUAUGCUGUCCGAUUUAAUUUCUUACAUUGUCCAGUUUAAAUCUCAUGCAUUAACAGUGACUGACUGUUUCUUUAAGGAAUUUGUAGAUUUGAAGCAACAGCUUUACAGCAACAGCUUCACAGCAACAUCAGGUUGAUUUAAGUUUAAGCAACAUUAAUUGACAGCAGACUGUGACUGUUUAAGAAGUAUUAGUUGAAGCUAAGCAGCUGUGUUGAUUUGAGUUUGUUACAUUCCAGCUACAUAGGACUGAUAUAGCAGCUAACACUUUCACAAGUUUUGUAUUUGUUAUUUGAGAAGCUGUUUUUGAGUGAAUUUGAAUUCAUUGCUGCUGAUUUGUGUUGUGUUUGUUGUGUUUGACAGCAGGUGUCUGAUUUAAGAUAGUGUGCAGAAAGGUUUUGUAAACUAUGUUUUAACAGUUUUGAAGCAACACAGCAACACAGCUUUGAUGUGGUUUAAGUGCUGUCUGAUCUAAGAACACAACAAGUUUAAAACAACAGCUUCACUUUGACGCUUGAAACAACAACUACACUGAAGCUAAACAGCAACUUCAUUUUGUUGUUAGACGUUUUGAUUUGAGUGGAUUUGAAAGGAUCUUACACAGUUUUGAUUGCUKGUUUGAGUUUGAGGUUUAAGCAGCAGCAGUUUUUUUGAGUUUCAUACAAAAGCUGUGAAUUCACCAAAUCAAUUUAGAGUACUGUUUUAAAGUCUGAAACAGAAACACGUUUGAUAGUCAAUAUUGGUUACAUUUCAGCUAAACAGGUACAUUGUUUUAACCUUGUGCAUUAUCUGUGCUUGUGAACUUGAGGACUGGAACAGACUUGGCCAUAUUGUUCAAGCAUUGAUUUUAUGUUAUUGAUUUGAUUGUUCAACUGUUUUUGUGUCARGUAAAUCAAAGUACACUUUGGAAGAUUUUCAGACAUAGCAAGAGUUGGUUUUGGACAGAUUUAACAGUUUUGGAUCAAGUCACAGUAGCUCAAGUGAAGCAUCUGAUACGAGUAGAAUUCAAGUGGAUUUUUGAAUACACAGAGCAGAUAGAUCAUUUUUUUWAAAAGUGUAAUAUCUGUAUUGUAAAGAGUUGAUAUUGUAUUGUUUUUGGACUUAGAAUCAGAUUUUGGACUUGGACAUUCUUUUUG